rnacentral:lncRNA from 1 species
AUAACUAGUGCAUAGAAAAAAAAAAAAAGGGGGGGGGGGGGGGACGCCGUGAGUUUUUAAGACACGAAGUCAAGGCAAUUUGCGGAUGUCGACUGGCAUUCCGGUGUAUUAAACAGGUAUUUUGAUCUCAUCAGAAAGGCUGGGAAAUAUAGAAACCAAUCUAAAUACAUAAACAGUAUACUAUUACUGCCUAUCAAACUCUUAGCACUUGGUGCACUGAAGAAAUAAUUGUUUUUGUUCGGAUGAUGACAGUAUACGAGUACGCCAUCGGAGUUUGGCAUUCAUUAGAAUUUUUUCAUCAAUAUUUUGUCUCAUUUUACACUCUGACGGGUUAUUUCUUUUUUUUUUUAUUAUUUAUACAGAAAUCAACGUUCACGCCCAGAACGCCAGCGUACUUCUCGCAAAAGGUCCAUGCGGCACAUCACACUUUGAAACGUAGAGCAACGAAGUCUACAACAAACGAAACAGCGCACAAUAUUUUAAAAAAAGAUAGAGAGCGCAGCAAACACCUUAGCGAAACCCAACCUCUUUCACCACACAUUGCUUCACUGUAACAACACUACGAUACCUUUGUAAUAUAUAUUAAAAAAAUAGGAAGGGGGAGGGGGGGUGGGGCAAGGGAGUGGGGGUUUGUUCUUAGAACAUACUGCCCGACAUAUCACGGAUAUACGGGGAUUCACUCUCGCCUCAACGCCGAGGAGGAGGGAGGAGGCCCGAAUCUCCUAGCGCCAUCUCAUGGCGAUCCGCAUCCCCACAUAGGGCGCGGUCGCAGGCCACUGGGAUCGAACGUCUCCCUAUUGCAGGACCGAGGCAACUUAGGGUUGGAGGUUGAAGUUGACCGCGUGAUUUACUGCAGGUAACUCCUGCCACGGGUCCGCGUCAAAACCUUCCGCGUCACCCCAACGUUACCCCGGUCCGCUCGCCGCGUCGGCAAAAGACUCGUUUAACAUGAAGUAUGGUGCAAUGGGAAGCUAACACACAUUUAAACACAAAAAGAAAAAAAAAUCACGGCGUUCAUGGUGAGGUCUCCUUGCGUCGUCUGUGAGACAGGCGAGACGGGUGUCGGUGGCAAGAGCGCGACACGCGCGGUAAUAUUCCCUCUUUUCGUAGUAUAUUUUCGUUGCAAUAUAAAAAAAUGAUAAUAAAGCUGCGGCACAGGGAAUGGGGAUAGGUGGAGUUGAUGAGUCGCGCGGCGGAUUUUUGACGCCGAUGCGAGGUCGAACCGACUGAUGGUGGGGUAAUAAAUAAAUAGAUGUUCGGGAGAACGACAAAUAUGUCAACACAAGACUUAAAAAGAAAAAAAAAGAAAGAAAAGGGUAACUCAUAAUGAACGAGAACAACCUUGGCUUUCUUUCCAACAACCUCUUCUUUCGUGAGCAAGAUGGGCAUUUUAACGCCUUAUACAAAAGAAAAAACCGUUCGUGUGACUCAUUGAACUAAA